rnacentral:lncRNA from 1 species
CGAAUUCCUACAGUGAAUGGAUCACAAACGAACUUCUACAACGGACGGGCUCCAGCAGCCGGAUCUCUACUCCGAACCUCUUCCAGACUUCGUCAAGGAUCGAGCUUCUCCGGUAGCGGGACUUCUACAGUAAGCGGUCUACUCUGAACUUCUACGACAACCAGUCUCCAUCCGAGCUUCUACGGUAUGCGGCCUCCUUCCGGACUCCGUCUGAACUUCUACAGCGGUUGAAUUUCGGACGAACUUCUACAACGGACGUGCUCCAGCCGUCGGACUUCUACAGCGACCGACUGUCUCUGGUGCCUUCCGCACCUCUCCAGCCAUCAACCUUCAACAGCGCCAGCCGCCCUUCCACAGAUCCAUCCGAUCUCCUCCAGCGGAUGAACUUCCGCAAUGCCUUCCGAAUUCCACUAUCAGCCGACCUUCUGUCGGAUCCCUCGUGCGACCAGACCUCUCCGAUGGACAGCCC